GUGAAGCAAUUGUCUGCAGCAUCCUAGCAAGGAAAAAAUGAGUUUCUCCCUUGUUGUGUGUUCUUGCAGGCAACUGACUAAGAAGAAGUUGAGGCAGAGAAUUUGGAACCUGCUAAGUACAUUGUGUAUUCAAAUGGUUUUUGAUUUGGUCGACCCACAAAUAGAAGUCCUGAAACACUGCCAAGUGUUAAAUAAGGUACUCGAUAAGAAUGGGGCUG